rnacentral:rRNA from 1 species
UAAUACGUAGGUGGCAAGCGUUGUCCGGAUUUACUGGGCGUAAAGGGAGCGUAGGCGGAUGUUUAAGUGGGAUGUGAAAUACUCGGGCUCAACUUGAGUGCUGCAUUCCAAACUGAAUAUCUAGAGUGCAGGAGAGGAAAGGAGAAUUCCUAGUGUAGCGGUGAAAUGCGUAGAGAUUAGGAAGAAUACCAGUGGCGAAGGCGCCUUUCUGGACUGUAACUGACGCUGAGGCUCGAAAGCGUGGGGAGCAAACAGGAUUAGAUACCCUGGUAGUCCACGCCGUAAACGACGAAUACUAGGUGUGGGGGUUGUCAUGACCUCCGUGCCGCCGCUAACGCAUUAAGUAUUCCGCCUGGGGAGUACGGUCGCAAGAUUA